CCGCCCGUAGCUCAGCAGGAUAGAGCAACCGCCUCCUAAGCGGUAGGUCGGCCGUUCGAAUCGGCCCGGGCGGGCCA
rnacentral:tRNA from 1 species